CUGUCUGUCGCGGGGAGCCGGAAGGGGUCCGGCUGAGAGGGUGACUGAGAUGUUGCCGACCCGCUGAACCUGACCUGGAUAAUGCCAGCGGAGGGAUCGACAAAUCCUAAAAAC
rnacentral:ncRNA from 2 species